rnacentral:lncRNA from 1 species
AUUCCUUCCCAAGUCAGCCCCUUCCUUUGCACUGUCUCUCCGUCCUAAGAAUUCUCGUGUAUUCCUUCUUUCUGGUGUGCUAGAAGUCUCCUGCAGGAAUGUUGGAAAAUCAGCUGGAAGCUGACGUUGCUGGUCGCUGGCAUACAUGCUAUUGUACCAACUACCGAAGAGACAUAUUACCAGAUAAGAAACACCCCAGGAAUCCUACAUUCAGUAGUGCAAGUUUUAACAGCAAUCAGCUACAAAUUUGCUUGAUUAAGGCUAAAUUCACAACUGUAAGACCUAAUUCUCAAAUGUGAUGUCCUUCAACCUCUCACCUUAGACAAGCUCCACUAAAUUCCUCCUUACAUUGAAUCUGCUGGUAGCACAAGCCCUGCCAUCCUGCCAGCCUUGUGCUGUACAACUUCCUCGGUGCUGCCUCCUCCACCUAUUUCAGGCUGUCAAAAGAGAAGAUUUUAUUACAACAAUGCAACUAAUGAUUUUCCAUCUCUGCUGAAAUCUGUCAGAACUUUCUUCAGGAUGAAAUGCAAAAUGCCUUACAUAGCAUACUGUUGCUUAAGGUCAGGAUGACAUAGCUCUUAACUCAUAUUCUAGCCCUUUUCUUGACACUUCUCUGACUCACUAAAUAAUCACCACGACCACCACACGCAUACACAAACACACACGCAAAUACUUAAUUUCCAAAUAAAUACCUUUUUUCAAGUCUUUAUAGCUCUGGUUUGACUGAAAUGCCUUAUCCUGCUUUCCCAUCUGGCAAAUUACUCUUCAGUAUUUAUCUGAGGCAUCACCUUUUGGGGAGGCCUCCAGGGGCCCUGUCCUUUGACAGAGGUACUCUUUCUGGGUUCAGUCCUCUGGUGGCAGGCCAGAACUCCACAAGCAGCUAAGUCUGCAUUAUCCCUUUGCUGUAAUAAUGAAUGUAUAAGAUAAAUAUUAAAGAGCUGGAGAAAUUGGUGCCUGAGUACAAGGGCUGGAAUGCAAAAAAAAAAAAAAAAAAAAAAUUAAAACCACACCUGGACUUUCUCAACCUCUUUAAUCCAGUCCAAGAACAAAUCUAAAAAACCUUCCUACAUGAGGACCUUUAGUUAAGAUUAGAUUGAUUAAGAAACACUCUGUGAGAGGCCAAUAAGGGUGAAUCGCCUGAGGUCAGGAGUUCGAGACCUGCCUGGCCAACAUGGUGAAAGCCCAUUUCUGCUAAAAAUACAAUAAUUAGCCAGGCGUGGUGGCACAUGCCUGUAAUCCCAGUUACUUGGGAGGCUGAGUCAAGAGAAUCCCUUGAACCUGGGAGGU